GAGUUUGAUCAUGGCUCAGGACGAACGCUGGCGGCGUGCUUAAUACAUGCAAGUCGAGCGAGGUUACUGUGACAGAUCCCUUCGGGGUGAAGUUGCUUUAGCCUAGCGGCGGACGGGUGAGUAACGCGUGGGUAACCUACCCUAAAGUUCGGGAUAACAGCGGGAAACCGCUGCUAAUACCGGAUGCCUUUACCGUGUGGCAUCACAGGGUAAAGAAAGGUAACGCUUUAGGAUGGGCCCGCGUCCCAUUAGCUAGUUGGUGAGGUAACAGCUCACCAAGGCGACGAUGGGUAGCCGGCCUGAGAGGGUGGACGGCCACACUGGGACUGAGACACGGCCCAGACUCCUACGGGAGGCAGCAGUAGGGAAUAUUGCGCAAUGGACGGAAGUCUGACGCAGCGACGCCGCGUGAGCGAUGAAGGCCUUCGGGUCGUAAAGCUCUGUCCUUGGGGAAGAAGGUCUUCGGACUUGACGGUACCCAAGAAGAAAGCCCCGGCUAACUACGUGCCAGCAGCCGCGGUAAUACGUAGGGGGCGAGCGUUGUCCGGAAUUACUGGGCGUAAAGGGUGCGUAGGCGGCCCUUUAAGUCAGAUGUGAAAGCCCGCAGCUUAACUGCGGAAUUGCAUUUGAAACUGGAGGGCUUGAGUGUCGGGAGAGGGUAGUGCAAUUCCAGUGUAGCGGUGAAUGCGUAGAUAUGGGAAGGACACAGUGCCGACGCGACU
rnacentral:rRNA from 1 species